AUGGCUAAAGAAAACACCUAUGAUCACUUUUGCUGUUCUUCUGGUCUAAGCAGUUUGUGGUUUGCCUGGGGCCUUCAGCAGCAGGGAGAGGAGCAGCACGGCAGCUCCACUGCUGGCCAGCAGUUGUGGGGGACUCACUCCUCAGAUCCCAGAAGCAGAACGUUCGGCUGUUUCGGUCUCCUUGCUGGUGACACGCUCCACUGGUCACUGCCACCAGAGAGCCCAGCGGACUGAGCACCGCUGCAGCCUUGCACUGGGUGACCCAGCUGCCUCUGUCAGCCACAUUUCCUGCGGCGGCUUAGCAGAUAUUGACACACAACCAACAACACUUCAGUGACUUUGACAGGUCCCUCCCACACUGCAGCACCUAUUAUUUGUAUUAAAAUGGUGUGCCAAGUGCUGCAAAUGCUAAACAAGGGAGGUUCCCUCUCACAGGUUGUGUACCAUCCAAAACUGGAGGUAUCGCUGCCCUCCUGCUACCCAUGGCCCGUGGCAGACCAGGAUAGAAUUCAGAGCUUUUAAAUCCUAGAUUAGUGAAUUAACAAGAUUAUCCUUUCACUCUGAAAAUGAGAUUGAGAGAGAUAUUUUGAUAACACCCAAAACUAGUUACAGUAAAUUGCCUGGAACUGUAAAACAUUUAGAUUUCAUGCUUAAGGAAAAAAUCAAUCUACCCACAGCUCUGGUGGUAAAGUAUAAAAGUGCCACCUUGAUCGCACAGAUACAGGCACAUGUCAGUUGCAAGGCUGUUUGAAAGUUAUACUACUGACAUGUCUUUUAUUUUUAAUAGCUCCUGUGACAUUAUGAAUGCUUUCAUAAUGAAUAUAACUUGUUGCAUGAAAGAGCAGAUGUCCUGGUACUUAAAUACAUGCUGCUGCCAUGCCAAAGUCUUCUGCUUAAUGGCAUUAGAAGCAGCAGUUUGUCCUGAUCAACAGCUCUGCUAACAUUUUAGAUGCAACAGAGAGCCAUAACAGGUGGAUCUCCCAUAAAAAAGAGCUUUUAUGGGCCAGGUUUUUUACAAAGUGCUGGGUGUAUGCGGUUCCAUAAAGCAACUUCCAGCAUUGGGUACUUAGGUUUCUCUCCACAUUUCUAUUAUAAACUGACAUUUAUGAUAUGUCUAUAUGAAGAGCUGUGUUACACCCAAGCAAUACAGCUGUAGCCAGACAAAUGUAAUGAAAUGUCUAGGGGAAAGGAAAAGUCACAAACAAAUCUUAAAUAUAAAAUAUAUCUUUCUCACAGAAACCUGCAAAUCCAAAGGUGACUUCAGCUGAUCUCUCACAAAAAUCCAAUCACAUAUUUUCCUUAACUUCUCUUGCAGCAGAGGUGGACCUCUUCUAUUCCUUCCUCUUCACACCUUUCCCAACAGAGCAAUUCUCUUCUUCUUUACAAUAUUGCCGCCUACAGCCUCUGUGUUUUUUGGGGUCUGCUGAGAAUGAAGAAACAGAGUGCUCUUCUGUGACCAGAUUCUUGCAGAUGUAACAACAUUGCAGCAGAUACAACCUUUGCAUGUCUGUGAGUGGUGUGAGGAUGCCCACAGGCCAGGCUGGAUGAGGUCUUGAGCAGCCUGAUCCAGUGGGUGGCAUCUCUUCCCACAGCAGGGGAGUUGGAACUAGAUAAUCUUUAAAAUCCUUCCCAACCCAAGCCAUUUGAUCAUACUAUGAUAGGGCCUGGCCACCACUGAGCUCCUUCCCAUACUCUUUGGUCAAAC
rnacentral:lncRNA from 1 species